rnacentral:tRNA from 1 species
UAUAAAUAUAGUUAAUUAAUAACACUAAUUUGUCAUAUUAGAAUUGGUAACUUCCUAUUUAUAA